rnacentral:pre_miRNA from 1 species
UGUGUGGAAGUAGGGUGUUAGUGUGUGUUGUUGUGUGGAACACACACUAACACCCUACUUCCACACA